CACGUAGGGCGCGCGCGUUGUCCGGAAUUCUUGGGCGUAACGAGCUCGUAGGCGGCCUGUUGCGUCCGCUGUGAAAGCCCGGGGCUUAACCCCGGGUCGGCAGUGGAUACGGGCAGGCUAGAGGUAGGUAGGGGAGAAUGGAAUUCCCAGUGUAGAGGUGAAAUUCGUAGAUAUUGGGAAGAACACCGGUGGCGAAGGCGGCGACCUGGUCCUUGACUGACGCUGAGGCGCGAAAGCGUGGGGAGCAAACAGG
rnacentral:rRNA from 1 species